CUUAGACAUUCUUCAGGGAGAAGGCAACUGUUUCCAUUGCACACUUCUACCCACGCUGGAGACACUAAUGUUCAGGACCAUGGAACAGAACAGUGGCCUCCAAAUCCUAGCUGACCUUCCAGAGGCAGUUGUCACGGCAAUCAAAAUAAGAUUUUCAGAGGUGUUGGAAAGUGAGGAUGCUGUCGGCUGCUGUGACUCUGCCCAAGUUCAAAUUACAUUGGCUGUGGACACUGGACAGGAUGGACAAGGCCAAGGUAAGUCUACUGGCAGACAAUCCAUCCAUCCAUCCACAUUUUUGACAUAUUUGAACAUUUAAAAAAAAUGCAAUGCUUAAGUUACUUUCUCUGGUAACUAGUUACUUUUAUAAUGCUGUAACUCAGUUACUAACUCGGUUACUUUUUGGAAGAAGUAACUAGUAACUCGGGCGCAGGCGAAGCCUCAGGCGGGGCGAGCCUCGGGGGUUGGAGCUGGCGCCCCCUUCUUGGGGAACUUGGGGAUCUGGGGAAUUCCCUCCUCUGUAGCAUGAAGGCGUGGGUUGUGGAGACUGAGGGAAGGGAAAUCGAGCCUACCUGGAACUCCGCCUCUGGAACAGGUUGGAGGAGGAAAGGCGUUUCUGGAGCCGGUGCACCAGGAUCAGGCUCUUCGGGAGUCAGCUGGCUGGGACCGAAGGCUAGUGACCCAGGCACAAUGAACACCGCGGGGUCAAGUACAGUAGGGACGCGUCCACCAGUGAAGAAGAGGGUACUGCGUGGCCGCAGUUCUGCCCUCUUCCCAAGGAAGAACCAUUCUGCCUGCAGAGGUGUCCUGGGGGCUACAGCGACAAUCACUGGCCGCCCUCAUUGAUUCAGGAGCUGAAGCCAGUUUCAUCAACGCCGCUCUGGUCCAGAAGUGGGGGAUUCCCACCACUCCUGUCCAGGCACCUCUGGUGGCUCAAUCCCUCAGAAGACAGAUGGCAACUGUGACUCGCACCACCAUCCCGGCCCGGAGACAAGAACCUCAAGCCGGACGCACACUCUCGUCAGUUUAGGGAGGAUGACCUCAAGGAUGCUGGUGCUGUUUCAUGGGGAAUUGAGGAGGCGGCCCAGGCGGUACAGCGGCUUCUGCGCCCCCCGGCAGGGACUCAGCAAACUGUCUCUACAUCCCAAAGUUUCUGCACUUCUGAACAAUCCUAUGGGAGCACUCCUCUCUCCUAGCCUGUCAUCCAGGGGUGCAUAGGACAAGGGCCCUUCUCGCACAAUGUUUCUGGUGGCCUUCGAUGCUUUGUGACAUCCGUAGAAACAUUGCGGCUUCCCCCAUUUAUGCACAGAGUAAGACCCCCUCUAAGCUCCAUGGUCUUCCCAUCGAUAUGGUCUCUGAUGGGGGCCCUUCGUUUUGUUGGACCUUUCCCAGUGUCCAAGGUCAUUAACCCCUCAGUGGUACGUCUGCCUGCUACCAUGUGCCAAGUCCAUCCCGGCUUUCAUGUGUCAUUACUUAGGCCUCAUGCGACGAGUCCUCUGGCCUCCCCUGUGCUUCCUCCUCCUCCCCCUCGGUUAGUGGAUGGCAGUAAGGUGUUCUUGGUUCACUGGUUGUUAGAUGUUCGCUGCAGAGGUCGAGGUCUUCUGUAUCUGGUGGACUGACAGGGUUAUGGGCCCGAGGAAUGUUCCUGGGUCCCAGGUCAUUUUAUUCUGGACCUGUCUCUGAUUGCCGACUUCCACUGUCCCUGUCCUGGAGUCAGACGUAGAGGGGAGGGUACUGUCACGGAUUGCUCCAGGGAUGCCCCAUCGUCACACCGACCACGCCCCUCCAGGGAAUCCCACUGACGGGAGACACCUCCUUUGGGGAUGCCAUACCUUUCCAUUCUGAUUUUACGGCUAAUUCUUGUUAGGAGCCAUUCCUCUUUCAGCUGUUUCGUUUUUUUUUCUGUCACCAGAUCUAUUUAUAGAAGCCGAUCACCCUGAUAUGGUUGCGAGAUCUUCAUGGUGUGCCCAGAGUUCGAGCAUUUCUCCUGUUACCGAUUUUCCUGUAUACCAACCUCUGCUCCGUAUUCCAGACCCCGAGCCUUGCCUGUCCCCUGUUUCACUGCCGACACCGAUCGCCUGAACCAUGCCCGAUUUCCCGACUCCGAUCUUCGCCUUCUCCCUCUGGACUCUGUAACCAGUCGCCGAGCUUACAGACUCUGAUCUCUGUCUCCGCCCUCUGGACGAUCGCCCAUCUCUCUGUGCCAUGCCAUCAGCCACCUUUCCGCCUCUGAGUCUGCUGAGAUUUAUUGGAAGCCUGAUUCUCUGCUGCUUAUAUUCUAACAGCUCGUCCUGCAAUAAAACCGCUUACCUGAACCUGGUCUGCAUCAGCAUUCAUCCUGUGCAUCCCUCACAACAUGGCAUGUUUUGAAUAAAGAUUCGCCUUUUGUUCUGAUGGCACCCCCGCACAUUCUGUGCUCAAACUUCUCAUAGCUGUGUUGUGCGAUGUUUUUAUAGUGUUGUAAGAUUGCUACUUGUUCUUGCUAGAUGUCGUUUAAGUGAUCGCCGAUCACGAUCAUUCAGGAUUUUUUUCCGGCCACAUUUCUUCCUCAAAGACAAUGGGUCCCCACUAUCCUUCCAGUUUUUAAUAAUGCGUUGGACAGUUCUUAACCCAAUUUUAGUAGUUUCUGCAAUCUCCUUAUAUGUUUUCUCUGCUUGAUGCAUGCCAAUGAUUUGACCCUUCUCAAACAGACCAACAUCUUUUCCACGACCACGAAAUGUGUCUUUCGACAUGGUUGUUUAAGAAAUGAGAAGCAACUCAUUGCACCAGUUGGGGUUAAAUAACUUGUUGCCAGCUGAAAGAUAAUCGCCCAUGCAGUAAUUAUCCAAUAGGAGGCUCGUACCUAUUUGCUUAGUUAAAUCCAGGUGGCGACUUUUUUUUGGCCAGGCAGUAUAUAUGAAUUCUCAAUUAAUUCGAAAAAUAAAAACAAUGUCUAUCUCUUAAAUGCAGAAGUUUAGUACAAUGACGUUUAUUGACAACCUUGGAGACGGUACCGCAGCAGCAUGUGCUGGUGAUGCAUUGGUGUCCUGUCGGCAUUGGUGAGCUUCAUCCGUAAACAUAAGCCUCCUUCUGGUUUGCUUUCAGAGCCCGAAUCCUGUGCUGACCUUUUGUGUGAAGACACACAACCAGCUCUACUACAUGGUGGCUCCAUCCUUAGAGGCCAUGCGCAUCUGGAUGGAUGUCAUAGUAACGGGCGCUGAAGGGUACACACAGUUCAUGUCCUGAGAGCACCUCAGACUUUGAGGCUGCAACAGGUCACAGACUCAGCAUGGACUUUUCUGAGGGUCUAAAACUCCAUUUUAGGAAAAAAAUUAUUUUUACUUUUGCUUGCAACACUUCUGUAAUUUAAUUUAAUUUCAGAAAAUGCAACUUUUUGGACAAUUUUGGACAUUUGCACAAUUUCAGAAAUUUCACAAAUAUGCACAAUUUUACUUCAUGCUAAACUUGCUCAUGCUUAUUUUGUACAUUGACAUUUUGCACGUUUUUGUCUUGUCCUUUUCUGUUUUGUCUUUACAAUAUCCUGGAAACUAUAAUGCGCAGUCACUAUUGAAGCGUCUUGUUAUGUCCUCCUACUGUCCCUGUUUAGAGUACAGAGA